UCCGAACCUUAAUGCAUAUGCCAUGAAAUGUAAUGAUUACUUUAUUGUAUUAUACAAGAAAAAUUAGCUGCCCAACUUGACAUUUCAAUCACUUAUAUGCAUAAUAAUAAAAUCAAGUUUCGAAUUGGGAAUUAUAAUCCUCAUUUUGUGAAUAAGAAGUAGAGAAUCGAAUUAAAUGGUAAAAUUUGGAAUGAAAUUAAAAAAAAAAAAAAUUUGAUUAAAAAUUUGACCGGAACAAUUGGCUUCUGGUUUGUCCGAAAGAUCUACUCCUCCGUCAAAAUUGACUGAGCUGAAGAUGCAAAAGGUGGAUGAGGACAAUAUCAACUCCAAGGGUUCUGUACAGUUUAUUCUUUUCUCUGCUUUUGCCAGAUGCUGAAUAUGCGAUGGAAAUUUUUGGUUGGUCUGGGUGAAAGCAUUUCAUGCGUUAAUUAGGGGUGGGCAACGUUUUGCCUGCGCUGG
rnacentral:misc_RNA from 1 species